UUCCCAGUUGAGCUGUGCAGCUGGACCGAAUCCGUACUGAAUAAAAUUCCAAAAUUCUAAAAAUUUCAAUAAAAUUUCGAGGCAUUUAUUUGGUUAGAAAUCACACCAAAAAUCCCUUCAAUAUAUUUAAAGAUUAAGCGAAAAGUUUUAUUUUUUACUUUUAUAAAAAAGCAAAAUUAAACAAAUUAUUUUGUAAGGAAGAAAAUUGCUAUUCACACAGUCGAAAAUUGUGAAUUUCUGUGAAUGUUGACGUCAGCGGUAACACGGCAUCUAUCUACAAGAUUAUCUACGGAUUGUUGGGGGAGGAAGAAAAUAAAACUCAUUCGAACACAUCAAGUAAAUACAUCAAAUACACCAAGGAGAAGACCAGUAAAU